rnacentral:rRNA from 1 species
UACGGAGGGUGCGAGCGUUGUCCGGAAUCAUUGGGCGUAAAGGGCGCGUAGGUGGCCCGGUCAGUCCGUGGUGAAAGCGCGGGGCUCAACCCUGCGUCGGCCAUGGAUACUGCCGCGGCUCGAGCACUGUAGAGGCAGGCGGAAUUCCGGGUGUAGCGGUGGAAUGCGUAGAGAUCCGGAAGAACACCGGUGGCGAAGGCGGCCUGCUGGGCAGUUUUGCUGACACUGAGGCGCGACAGCGUGGGGAGCAAACAGGG